rnacentral:rRNA from 1 species
AAAGUCUGACGCAGCGACGCCGCGUGAGGGAUGACGGCCUUCGGGUUGUAAACCUCUGUUGAGUGGGACGAGAACUCGCAGGGUUAAUACCCCUGCGACCUGACGGUACCACUCGAGGAAGCUCCGGCUAACUACGUGCCAGCAGCCGCGGUAAUACGUAGGGAGCAAGCGUUGUUCGGAAUCACUGGGCGUAACAGGGAGUGUAGGCGGGAAAGUAAGUUAGGAGUGAAAUACACAGGCUUAACCUGUGGCCCGCUCUUAAUACUGCUUUUCUUGAGUAUGGGAGAGGAAGAUGGAAUUCCAGGUGUAGCGGUGGAAUGCGUAGAUAUCUGGAAGAACACCAGUAGCGAAGGCGGUCUUCUGGCCCAAUACUGACGCUGAGGCUCGAAAGCUAGGGGAGCAAACAGGAUUAGAUACCCUGGUAGUCCUAGCCGUAAACGAUGGACACUAGUUGUCGGGGGAGUCAAUCCCUUCGGUGACGAAGCUAACGCAUUAAGUGUCCCGCCUGGGGAGUACGCUCGCAAGGGUGAAACUCAAAGGAAUUGACGGGGGCCCGCACAAGCGGUGGAGCAUGUGCUUUAAUUCGAUGCAACGCGAAGAACCUUACCUGGGUUUGACAUGGGGGUGAAAGUAACCAGAGAUGGAUACCUUUCCUUCGGGAACACCCCAUACAGGUGCUGCAUGGUUGUCGUCAGCUCGUGUCGUGAGAUGUUGGGUUAAGUCCCGCAACGAGCGCAACCCCUACCCUUAGUUGCCAGCGGGUUAUGCCGGGAACUCUAGGGGGACUGCCUGGACUAACCAGGAGGAAGGUGGGGAUGACGUCAAAUCCUCAUGGCCCUUACGCCCAGGGCUAGACACGUGCUACAAUGGCCGGUACAAUAGGCUGCGAACUCGCGAGAGUAAGCUAAUCCGAUAAAACCGGCCUCAGCUCGGAUUGGAGUCUGCAACUCGACUCCAUGAAGGUGGAAUCGCUAGUAAUCGCGGAUCAGCAUGCCGCGGUGAAUACGUUCCCGGGCAUUGUACACACCGCCCGUCAAGCCAUGAAAGACGGUAGUGCCCGAAGUCGUUCCCCU